ACUUAAAUUGAAGAGUUUGAUCAUGGCUCAGAUUGAACGCUGGCGGCAGGCCUAACACAUGCAAGUCGAGCGGUAACACAGAGAGCUUGCUCUCGGGUGACGAGCGGCGGACGGGUGAGUAAUGUCUGGGAAACUGCCUGAUGGAGGGGGAUAACUACUGGAAACGGUAGCUAAUACCGCAUAACGUCGCAAGACCAAAGUGGGGGACCUUCGGGCCUCAUGCCAUCAGAUGUGCCCAGAUGGGAUUAGCUAGUAGGUGGGGUAAUGGCUCACCUAGGCGACGAUCCCUAGCUGGUCUGAGAGGAUGACCAGCCACACUGGAACUGAGACACGGUCCAGACUCCUACGGGAGGCAGCAGUGGGGAAUAUUGCACAAUGGGCGCAAGCCUGAUGCAGCCAUGCCGCGUGUAUGAAGAAGGCCUUCGGGUUGUAAAGUACUUUCAGCGAGGAGGAAGGCGUUAAGGUUAAUAACCUUGGCGAUUGACGUUACUCGCAGAAGAAGCACCGGCUAACUCCGUGCCAGCAGCCGCGGUAAUACGGAGGGUGCAAGCGUUAAUCGGAAUUACUGGGCGUAAAGCGCACGCAGGCGGUCUGUCAAGUCGGAUGUGAAAUCCCCGGGCUCAACCUGGGAACUGCAUUCGAAACUGGCAGGCUAGAGUCUUGUAGAGGGGGUAGAAUUCCAGGUGUAGCGGUGAAAUGCGUAGAGAUCUGGAGGAAUACCGGUGGCGAAGGCGGCCCCCUGGACAAAGACUGACGCUCAGGUGCGAAAGCGUGGGGAGCAAACAGGAUUAGAUACCCUGGUAGUCCACGCCGUAAACGAUGUCGACUUGGAGGUUGUGCCCUUGAGGCGUGGCUUCCGGAGCUAACGCGUUAAGUCGACCGCCUGGGGAGUACGGCCGCAAGGUUAAAACUCAAAUGAAUUGACGGGGGCCCGCACAAGCGGUGGAGCAUGUGGUUUAAUUCGAUGCAACGCGAAGAACCUUACCUACUCUUGACAUCCAGAGAACUUAGCAGAGAUGCUUUGGUGCCUUCGGGAACUCUGAGACAGGUGCUGCAUGGCUGUCGUCAGCUCGUGUUGUGAAAUGUUGGGUUAAGUCCCGCAACGAGCGCAACCCUUAUCCUUUGUUGCCAGCGAUUAGGUCGGGAACUCAAAGGAGACUGCCAGUGAUAAACUGGAGGAAGGUGGGGAUGACGUCAAGUCAUCAUGGCCCUUACGAGUAGGGCUACACACGUGCUACAAUGGCAUAUACAAAGAGAAGCGACCUCGCGAGAGCAAGCGGACCUCAUAAAGUAUGUCGUAGUCCGGAUUGGAGUCUGCAACUCGACUCCAUGAAGUCGGAAUCGCUAGUAAUCGUAGAUCAGAAUGCUACGGUGAAUACGUUCCCGGGCCUUGUACACACCGCCCGUCACACCAUGGGAGUGGGUUGCAAAAGAAGUAGGUAGCUUAACCUUCGGGAGGGCGCUUACCACUUUGUGAUUCAUGACUGGGGUGAAGUCGUAACAAGGUAACCGUAGGGGAACCUGCGGUUGGAUCACCUCCUUACCUUAAAGAA
rnacentral:rRNA from 1 species